AGCCGAAACGCCGCCUUUCGCGGCUUCCGCCGAGGACUGAUCCCCGGCGCUGACGAGGCAGAUCCAU
rnacentral:hammerhead_ribozyme from 1 species